AUCGCUUCUCGGCCUUUUGGCUAAGAUCAAGUGUAGUAUCUGUUCUCUCAGCUUAAUCUCUGAGACGCCGGACAUAGCUCGGCUCCAAGAUUAACUCAAUCUUUGGAACUUGGGACAGGGAUGGCAGCUUGCUGCGCCCUUCUCGCGCAUUGUCCAUCCCUUCCCGGGGAAUAAUUAAGCUACG